rnacentral:lncRNA from 1 species
GGUACAUAUGUCAUAACUGACUUAACCACUAUCCUUUGGUUGAAUUGUUUUCUUUUCUUUGCUUUUCUCCCCCAAUAUUAUAUGCCCCAGCCUCGAAGGGAGAUGACAUAACCUGGGCUACUACAACAUGGAAUUCUGGGAGUGAGACCCUGUGAAGCCAAAUUAAAGGUUGCUAAGGAAACAUGGCAACAGCACUCACGUGAUCUCCCUGCUCUAGAGAGAAUCUGGCCCAGCACAGUCACUAAGUCAGGAGGAGGGAAGCAAACUUGAGAUAGAUCCCAGGCAGUAAUUCGUGUUCAAAGGGAAAUAAAACUCUAAGGAAAAGGACUGAGGUCAUGGCAUUAGAAGAAGAAACGGAGGAGUCAUUUGAAAGAUAUCCAGAUCUUUCAGAAAUGGUGAGAAGGAACAAGAAAAUACUUCAGAAUAUUUUGCUGAGAAAUUUGCCUCACAAUUUGGGAGUAACGUCCAAGACCUAAGGAGAUAAGAAGUAUCUCAGGCCAAAAAAAAAAAAAAAGGCAAAUAAGCAAAUACCAUCUUCCUUUCCUCAACCUGGCCAGGAUAGAUUGACUAAGAUGUUGCCCGACAGGAUUGCCAAGCUUCGUGUUUCUCUCCGGGCACUUUUGCACAUGGUCUUAACACAGGAUAGGAACAUUUCAGAACUUGAUUCAUCAAUGAGUAUGUACAUCAUCGUGAAUCACUGUUUCCAGGCAAGUGCUGAUGCCAAGUUCUCUGAAUGCUAAUUCUCACGUUCAGUGCCCUCUCGAAAGUAAAAUGGAAAUCAACUGCUAGAAACAUGUUAGAGACUGAAGACGGGAGUGUAGGUAAGCGCACAGCACGGUAGGAGGCCUGGAGCAGGUGACUGUGAGCUCCGGUAAGAACGAUGAUUGUAAUGAAACUAGAGACAGAAAUUCUACAGCCAAGCCUCUGGUAUCUGCAAAAUAUUGUCAUUAAAUAAUAACUACAUUACCAUGCUGUUAGGUCAAUGGGGACGUUCCACGUGGAGCCAAAUAAAUAAACAAAAGCUCAAAA